rnacentral:lncRNA from 1 species
AUGUAGUCCCUUAAAUGUUUUGAAAUUGCAAUUUAAUUACAGCAUUUCUUGUGUCACCCAUGCUGUCCUACAACUCGAUUUGUAGAUCAUGUUGGUCUGUUGCGUUAAAUCUCCAACCCAAAAAGGCCCAGUCAAAGGAAGCAACUCCUCAAUUAAUAGGAAGACAAGCUACACACUUCAAUUCAGCAGAUCUAUCACUACACUACUCUGUUUUUCAUCUAUGAGAUUCCAGAUAACUUCCGGUUUCUCCAACCCUGUGCUUCUGUUCCAUCUCCCUUCUACCUCCUCCUCCAUCAUUCCUCCCUCUCCUCUCCUCUUCCUUCUCCUCCAAACUUUUCAUUUCCACCUUCCCUUCUACUGCCCAAUCACUGACUGGCUCUAGCCUUUUUAUGAAAAGUUAAGGUGGGGAGAAUAUUCACAAGGCACCUGUAUACAUGAUUCACUCCUCUUCUACAACCCUUUCCAAAGUCGAAUUAGCAUCAAAAUACAAGAGCAACAUUGGUGUCAAUCAGAGAUUCACUGCCUCCUGAGUGCUGGAGGAGGGACUAAAGGCAUGUGCCACAGCUCUUCUGUUAAAGCUUCCCUGAGAACACUGCGACUCGCAACUCUUGUCUCUUUUCUUUCUUACAAGAAACACCACAUCUUUUCUCUACCUCAUCUCUUUCUCAGUGUGGAAAUUUAGUGACUCUUCUUUGGAGAGCUAAAUAUCCUUGAUCAGGAGAAGCAACUGAAGUCUACAUGGCAUUUUUAGUUUGGUCCCAUAUUUCUAAAUUUUAAUUAAAAUAUAUUCCUUUCUACUUACAUCAAGGGCUGUUCUGAGGAACACUUCAGAUUUCCUGAGACUGUGAUCACUGAUCAUGCUGUAAGUGACAUAACAGCACAUGCAUUUCAUUCAACAAAUGUUUAUUAGAUUAUUAGGCUUCCUCUUCCUGUUGAUGUGUUUAUAAAGAGCAGAUAUGAUCCCCAUUUUCCAGGAAGAAUCAGAUACACAAAAGGAAAAUGAUCUCGGUAUAAGGUGAAGUCUCCGACUACCACACAACAAAGAUGAAUGAGUGAGUGGGCAAAUGACUUUAUUACAGGUAAUGGAAGGUUCUCAGUGCUAAAAGAUGGAUUUAGCUAAAGACAAAGCUUUGAGGAGAAAAAGAGAUAUUCUAGGCAAUGUGAGCAUAAUUAUCAAGCACAAUGCUGCCAUUUUUUCUAAAGGAAUGAAUGAAUUAGGUGGGGAGACUCCACUUAAGUAAAAAGAAAUCCAUAAAGUUGGUCUCCCCAAGGCUUAACAGGUACUGGGUAACAUUUGCCUUCUCCUAAAACCUUUCCACUGCUCUGCUCGCUCACAGCCACCCCACCACGGUUUGUAGAAGUGUUUGGCACACAUUACAAUGCAAUUUCUUUCAUUUGAAAAGAGUUAAUGAUUACACCGAGGUAUCACUUACUAUGUUUUACUUUACCAUGUAAGGUGGGCAUUCCAAUUUUCAUUUAAAUAGCUGAAGUUCAAGAUUGUCAGAUGUCUACAUUAUACAGCCAGUGUACAU